rnacentral:rRNA from 1 species
CUAGAUUACCCAUGCAUGUUAUUGAAUAUAAAGAAAAGACGAACAGCUCAGUAACUCUUAUUUUAUUUGAUGUAUUAGGACUAUAACUAUGUUAAAUUAUAGAUAACAAUAAUACAAUAAGAAUAAGAUCUAUCAGUUAGUUGUUAAGGUAAUGGCUUAACAAGACUAUGACGGAUAACGGUAUUACUUUGUAAUAUUCCGGAGAAGGAGCCUGAGAGAUUGCUACUAAGUCUAAGGAUUGCAGCAGGGGCGAAACUUGACCUAUGAUAUGAUAUUGAGGCAGUUAUGAGUAGUAUUUUUAAUUAUUGUAGUAUUGUAAGUAUAUACUACAAGAUAAAUCGGAGGGCAAAUCGAGUGC